ACACGACUACAUUAGAUACCCCCCGUAGUCCCAGCCCUAAACGAUGCGCGUUAGGUGUAUCGGUGACCACGAGUCACCGAGGUGCCGAAGGGAAACCGUGAAACGGGCCGCCUGGGAAGUACGGUCGCAAGGCUGAAACUUAAAGGAAUUGGCGGGGAGCACCACAACGGGUGGAGCUUGCGGUUUAAUUGGAUUCAACGCCGGAAAUCUUACCGGGACCGACAGCAACAUGAAGGCCAGGCUGAAGACUUUGCCGGAUUAGCUG
rnacentral:rRNA from 1 species